AGGCUUGAGCCACCAGUAUCGUAGCCAAUGAGGUUUAUCCGAGGUGCGAUUAUUGCUAAUUGAAACUUUUCCCAAUACCCCGCCCUGACGACUUGCAAUAAAAUGUUUUAUUAGUGAACAAUAUAAUAUCUGAAACAGG
rnacentral:snRNA from 1 species